rnacentral:rRNA from 1 species
GAGUUUGAUCCUGGCUCAGAUUGAACGCUGGCGGCAGGCCUAACACGUGCAAGUCGAGCGCGAAAGGCCUUCGGGCUGAGUAAAGCGGCGGACGGGUGAGUAACGCGUAGGAAUCUACCUAAUAGUGGGGGAUAACGUUUCGAAAGGAACGCUAAUACCGCAUACGUUCUGAGGAAGAAAGCAGGGGAUCGCAAGACCUUGCGCUAUUAGAUGAGCCUGCGUCCGAUUAGCUAGUUGGUGGGGUAAAGGCCUACCAAGGCGACGAUCGGUAACUGGUCUGAGAGGAUGAUCAGUCACACUGGAACUGAGACACGGUCCAGACUCCUACGGGAGGCAGCAGUGGGGAAUAUUGGACAAUGGGGGCAACCCUGAUCCAGCCAUGCCGCGUGUGUGAAGAAGGCCUUCGGGUUGUAAAGCACUUUAAGCGGGGAGGAAGGCUCUAUGGCUAAUAUCCAUGGGGAUUGACGUUACCCGCAGAAUAAGCACCGGCAAACUUCGUGCCAGCAGCCGCGGUAAUACGAAGGGUGCGAGCGUUAAUCGGAAUUACUGGGCGUAAAGCGCGCGUAGGUGGUUUGGUAAGCGAUAUGUGAAAUCCCCGGGCUUAACCUGGGAACUGCAUGUCGAACUGCCAGGCUAGAGUAUGGUAGAGGGGUGUGGAAUUUCCUGUGUAGCGGUGAAAUGCGUAGAUAUAGGAAGGAACAUCAGUGGCGAAGCGACACCCUGGACCGAUACUGACACUGAGGCGCGAA